rnacentral:ncRNA from 1 species
CCCUAAAAAGUUCUGAAGACACAAAGGUUUGGUCCUAGCCUUACUAUCAAUUAUCUCUUAACUUACACAUGCAAGUCUCAGCACUCCCGUGAGGACGCCCUUUUCCCCUUCACCAGGUUAAGGAGCUGAUAUCAGGCACCACUCCCGCCCAUAACAUCUGGUCCCACCACGCCCACAAGGGUAUUCAGCAGUGAUAAACAUUGACUAUAAGCGCCAGCUUGAUUCAGUUAAAGAGAAGAGGGCCGGCCAACUCGGUGCCAGCCGCCGCGGCUAUACCCACGGGCCCAAAUUGAUUUUACUCGGCGUUAAGCGUGAUUAAAGUUCAACAAAAUUAGAGUCAAACCUAUAAUUCAGCUGUAAAAAGCACAUUCUGGGGAAGACCAAAAACGAAAGUUACUCUAAUCCACACUUGAAUACACGACAACUAGGAAACAAACUGGGAUUAGAUACCCCACUAUGCCUAGUCGUAAAAUAUUAACUUACAUCUAUAAGCGCCCGGGAAUUACGAGCUUUAGCUUAAAACCCAAAGGACUUGACGGUGUCCCACCCCACUAGAGGAGCCUGUCCUAUAAUCGAUGGUCCCCGAUUCACCUAACCUUCCCUUGCUCAUCAGCCUGUAUACCUCCGUCGUAAACUUACCAUAUGAAUGUCAUACAGUCUAGUCCAAUGAUUCGUUCAUCAAUACGUCAGGUCAAGGUGCAGCCUAUGGAAAGGAAGAGAUGGGCUACAAUUUCUAUUCUAGAACAAACGAAAUACUGCAUGAAACACAGUCAUGAAGGAGGAUUUAGCAGUAAAGAGAAAUCAAUGAGUUCCCUUUAACAUGGCCCUGGGACACGUACACACCGCCCGUCGCCCUCUUCGAUAAAUAUUAACCAGCUUCCUAACUCAAUUAACCUAAGAGAAGAGGUAAGUCGUAACAUGGUAAGUGUACUGGAAAGUGCACUUGGAUUAACAAAAUGUAGCUUAGCAAAGCACCUCGCUUACACCGAGGAGACACCCGUGAAACCCGGAUCAUUUUGAGCCCUAAACUAAGCCUAAUCUUUUAUUUAUAUCUAACCCACCCGACCCCCUCAACAAAAUAAAACAUUUUGACUUUCUAGUAGAGGCGAUCGAAAAACUUAUUAGAGCUUCACACCCAGUACCGCAAGGGAAUAGUGAAAUAGAUUUGAAACAGCCUUAAAGCACCAAAAAGCAGAGACUUCACUCGUACCUUUUGCAUCAUGGUUUAGCUAGUUUUAACUAAGCAAAGAGAGACGUUAGUUUAACACCCCGAAACUGAACGAGCUACUUCGAAACAGCUUCUAGAGCCAACCCGUCUCUGUUGCAAAAGAGUGGGAUGAUUUCCAAGUAGAGGUGAUAAGCCUAUCGAGUUCAGAGAUAGCUGGUUGUUCAGGAAAAGAAUCUUAGUUCCCCCUUAAGUUUUCUUAUUACCCUUAAAACUCCCCUAAACUUAAGAGCUAUUCAAAUAAGGCACAGCUUAUUUGAAACAGGAUACAACCUCCAAUAAAGGGUAAGUAACGACACCAUCAACCAAGUGGGCCUGAAAGCAGCCACCUUUAAAAAAGCGUUAAAGCUUAAUCCUUAUUUUCUUCAUGAAUACCUUCCUCCAUUACGAACCCUCAAUCCGUACUGAACGACUCUAUAAUUUUAUAGAAGACAUAAUGCUAAAACUAGUAACAAGAAGUUGGCCUUCUCCAAAAUGUAAGCGCAAACCAAAUCGGACUAACCAUUGGUCACUAACGUAAAUGAAUCCACUAUAGUAACACCCCCCCCCCCCCAAGAAAAACCUAUUGGCCUCGACGUUAACCUAACACAAGCACAUUUCUGGAAAGAUUAAAAGAAAAAGAAGGAACUCGGCAAAUGUAGGCCCCGCCUGUUUACCAAAAACAUCGCCUCUUGAUAACCUAUAAGAGGUCCAGCCUGCCCAGUGACAUAGUUAAACGGCCGCGGUACCCUGACCGUGCGAAGGUAGCAUAAUCACUUGUUCUUUAAAUAGGGACUAGCAUGAACGGCAUCACGAGGGUCUUACUGUCUCCUUUUUCCAAUCAGUGAAACUGAUCUCCCCGUGAAGAAGCGGGGAUUUCUCUAUAAGACGAGAAGACCCCAUGGAGCUUUAAACCCAGCAAGCAACCCUAACCACAAUACCCCCUUUAAGUUUUUAAGUUCUGCUUGCUGGUUUUAGGUUGGGGUGACCGCGGAGUAUAACCCAUCCUCCACGACGUACGGGACUUUUCCCUUAUCCAUGAACUACAAUUCUAAGAAUCAACAAGUUGACGACAAGUGAUCCAAUCUAUUGAUCAACGAACCAAGUUACCCUGGGGAUAACAGCGCAAUCCAUUUUGAGAGCCCCUAUCGACAAAUGGGUUUACGACCUCGAUGUUGGAUCAGGGUACCCAAGUGGUGCAGCCGCUACUAAUGGUUUGUUUGUUCAACAAUU